rnacentral:tRNA from 1 species
UCCCUGGUGGUCUAGUGGUUAGGAUUCAAUGCUUUCACCACUGUAACCUGGGUUCAACCCCUGGUCUGGGAA